rfam:Serratia symbiotica str. Tucson genomic scaffold scaffold00283, whole genome shotgun sequence.
CGCGUAUUUUGCGAAGGCGGAGUUCGACCGCCUCUGGAAAAAAUUACGCCCCUGGUGGAUACCUUGCGCAGCAAACACGGGGUCGGAUCGGUAUGCCACGAGCUGGAUAUCGCCCCG